CUCACUCUCUCAAUUGAUUUUGGGUAGAAUGAUGUCUAAACUCCUCCUUUGUUUUCUUUUCUUUCUCUCGUCCUCUCAGCUUCUUUCCUCCUCUUUCUCUUUCUCUAAUUCCACCAAACUAUGCCCGCAUCAGCAGGCUCUUGCUCUGCUCCACCUUAAGCAAUCCUUUUCUAUUGAUAAUUCCAGUUCUUGGGAUUGUGAUUCCAAUGGCAUCACUUCUUAUCCUAAAACAGAGUCUUGGAAGAAGGGUAGUGAUUGUUGCUCAUGGGAUGGGGUCACAUGUGAUUGGGUGACAGGCCAUAUAAUUGGGCUGGACCUCAGUUGCAGCUGGCUCUUUGGCAUCAUCCAUUCCAAUAGUACCCUUUUCCUUCUUCCUCACCUGCGAAGGCUCAACCUUGCUUUCAAUGACUUCAAUUACUCCUCUGUUUCAAUUGGGUUUGGUCGGUUCUCAAGCUUGAUGCAUCUCAAUCUCUCCUACUCUCUCUUUUCUGGAAAAAUUGCACCUGAAAUCUUCCAUCUCUCCAACUUGGUUUCACUUGAUCUGUCCGGGAAUUAUAAAGCAGAAUUUGCCCCGCAUGGCUUCAAUUCUCUGGUUCAAAAUUUAACCAAAUUGCAGAAGCUUCACCUUGGAUCUCUCCUAUUGCAAAUUCUCAGGGUCCAUCCCUACUUCAAUUGGCAAUCUAAAGUCUUUAUAGACUUUGGAUCUCUCCAAUUGCGAAUUCUCAGGGUCCAUCCCUACUUCAAUUGGCAAUCUAAAGUCUUUAAAGACUUUGGAUCUCUCCAAUUGCGAAUUCUCAGGGUCCAUCCCUACUUCAAUUUGCAAUCUAACAAACCUUCAGGACUUAAGAUUCUAUGAUAACUUGUUCACCGGGACAAUACCAUCCAGGUUAUACACUCUGGCAUCAUUGGUGAGCUUAGAUCUCAGUCUUAACAAACUCACUGGUCAUAUUGGUGAAUUCCGAUUUGAUUCAUUGGAGUAUAUUGAUUUGAGCAUGAAUGAGUUACAUGGGUCAAUUCCAAGUUCAAUAUUUAAGCUUGUAAACCAUAGAUAUCUUGUUCUUUCUUCAAAUAACUUCAGUGGCGUUUUGGAGACAAGCAACUUUGGAAAACUUAGAAACCUUACUUCGCUUGAUCUCUCAAACAACAUGCUCUCAUUGAUCACCUCUGCCAAUUCCAACUCCAUUUUACCAAGCAUUGUGAACCUAGACCUUUCAAACAAUAACAUUAGUGGAGUAUGGUCAUGGAAUAUGGGAAAGGAUACACUGCGGUACUUGAAUCUCUCUUAUAACAUCAUAAGUGGGUUUGAGACGCUUCCAUGGAAAAAUAUAGGAAUUCUAGAUCUUCAUUCCAACUUGUUGCAAGGACCACUUCCAACUCCUCCAAAUACUGCAUUUUUCUUUUCAGUAUCCCAUAACAAAUUGAGUGGAGAAAUCUCAUCAUUGAUUUGCAAAGCGAGUUCCAUGGGAAUUCUUGAUUUGUCUAAUAACAACUUGAGUGACAUGCUUCCUCAUUGUUUGGGGAAUUUUAGCAAAUAUCUCUCUGUUUUGAAUUUGCGAAGGAAUCAAUUUCAUGGCAUCAUUCCUCAAACAUUUUUAAAGGGCAAUGCUAUCAGGAAUCUUGACUUCAACGAUAAUAAAUUGGAAGGCCCAGUACCUCGAUCUUUGAUCAUUUGUCGAAAACUUAAAGUUCUAGACCUUGGGAAUAAUGUGAUAAAUGAUACAUUUCCCCAUUGGUUGGGAACUCUUCCAAAGUUGCAAGUUCUUGUUUUGCGUUCUAAUAGUUUUCAUGGUCAUAUAGGGCGUUCCAAAAUCAAAUCCCCAUUCAUGAGCCUAAGAAUCAUUGAUCUUGCUCACAAUGAUUUCGAGGGUGACUUGCCUGAAAUGUAUUUGAGAAGUUUGAAAGCAACAAUGAAUGUAGAUGAAUGCAACAUGACAAGAAAAUACAUGGGGGACAGUUAUUAUCAAGAUUCCGUAAUGGUGACAAUCAAGGGGUUAGAGAUUGAAUUUGUGAAAAUCUUGGAUACUUUCACAACAAUUGAUUUAUCAAGCAAUACAUUCCAAGGAGAGAUUCCAAAGUCCAUUGGAAAUCUUAAUUCACUCCGAGGACUCAAUUUGUCUCAUAACAACCUUGUAGGACAUAUCCCACCAUCUUUCAAAAAUUUGAAGUUGCUUGAAUCAUUGGACCUUUCUUCAAACAAGCUCAUUGGGAGAAUUCCUCAAGAAUUAACAAGUUUGACAUUUCUUGAAGUUUUGAAUCUUUCCCAAAACAAUCUCACCGGAUUUAUACCUCGAGGCAAUCAAUUUGAGACAUUUGGAAAUGAUUCAUACAACGAGAACUUAGGGUUAUGUGGAUUUCCAUUAUCAAAGAAAUGCACAACUGAUGAAACACUAAAGCCUUCAAAAGAGAUGGAUGCAGAGUUUGAAAGUGGGUUUGAUUGGAAAAUCACAUUGAUGGGAUAUGGAUGUGGAUUGAUAAUUGGGUUGUCUCUUGGGUGUCUCAUUUUCUUAACUGGGAAACCUAAAUGGUUGACAACGAUGGUUGAAGAGAACAUUCACAAGAAGAUCACAAGGUCUAAAAGAAGUACUUGUAGAAGAGGAGCAAGAAGAAAGUAGCAUAUUCCAACUGUAUUGUAUUUUGUGCUACAUAUUAUAAAUGGAUUUUACAUUUGUUAACAAAUAAUCUACUUGUUAUUAUAAAAGUGUAAUAUUGUUUGUAAAAUUAAAAUAAUGUUUUUUUCUUUUUCCUUUUUUUUUCUUUUUUGUGACAAUGCAACAGUCAUUAGGUUCAAUAUUUUUCCGGCCAACAUGAUAACUUAAAAUUCAUCAAAGAGCAAUUUGUAUAUCUUAGAGAUUAAUCAAACACUAAAGAAUAUUAAAGACUUAGUAGAAAUUUGGACAUACUUCUAAUUUUUAUUAUUUUUUAAAAACAAAACUUUGAUACAAGUAGAGACUUACACUAUGUUUUCAAAACUACUUUUUAAUUUAUUUUUAUUUUUUAAAUUUAAGAACACAAAGUUUUUAAAAUUUUAAAAAAUCUUUUAGAAAAUAUAAGAUAAAUCUCCUCUCUUGCUAAAAAAAAUGACUGCAUUUUAUAGAAGAGUUUAAAAACAAAAAACAAAAUACAAAAAUUGUUUCCAAACACCACUAUUUUUUUUUUCCCGAUAAUUCAUACUUUAUUAUUAUAUAGGGAAAGAACAAUAAUUUGUUUAUAUUAAAUAUAUAUGGGUAUAUUAUAACAACUAGUAUUUUAUUUGAGGAGCCACGACCGGGCCUAGUUCAAACCACGACAAGGCAUAACCAUUGCAACCAAAGCUCAAUUGGUAUUUCAUUGGAAAUCAUUUUUUAAAUAUAUGUUAUUGAAAAAUGUCAACUAUCACAUUAUGGAAAAGAAAAAUUUACGAAAGGACCACUUGAUAUCUUUUCAUUUGAAAGAAUAUCAUUGUUAGUGAUAUAUGUUAAAUAUUUAAAUCAAUUCUAUAAUUGCUAUCGAUAUUUGAAGAAGAAAAAACAUAAAUAAAUUAAAUAAUUUAACAUUUUUCAAUCAAUCUGACUUUAAUAAAUAAGGUUGAAGAUAGUGCACAAAAUCAAUAAAGAAAAAGCAUAUAUUUUUUUUAAUUAUUUAUUUAAACAAACUAAUAUUCAUUCAUUUUAUAUUUAUCUCUUACCAUUUUAAAAUAUUAAUAUUUAUUUUAAAAAUAUUAGUAUGCAUUAUAAUUUUUUAAAACAGUAUUAUUGAUUUUAAUAAAAAAAAUAUAAAUUCUAAUAUUCAUUUUUAAAAGUUGGUGAUUUCGGAAAUUUGUUUCUAAUAUUCAUGAAUUUAUACUCGUAUCUUUUUCUCAAAAUAAAUAAAUAAAUGUUAUUAAUUUGUUAUGAAUAGUGUGAUUUUUAAAAUAUAAUACUUGAUUAUUUAAUAAAAAUGUUGUUACUUAUCAUAACUUUUUAAAAAUGUAUUAUUUAUUAUUAAUUCGAAGAAAUAAAAUUUUAAUAUUUAUUUUGAUAGAAAAAAACCCAAUGAUAUUUUGUGGCCUUAUAAUAAUAAAGUUUAUUUUUAUUUUCAUUUUCUAUUUAAAUAAUUAUUUAAAAAAUCUGAAACUAAAAUCAUUGCCACGUAGGUUGCAACAUAAAAUGCAUGAUAGAUCAUAGAUGUAAUAACUUGGCAGUAAUAGGAAGCAUGUAUUGGAAUAUUAUACUCAUUUAAAAAUAUUAUUUUCACUCAUAAAACAAGUAAACCUAUCGAAAAAGUCAAGUGAUCACCAUAUCUCUUUUAUUUAUUAUUAAACUCAGCUUCAAUUGUAAAUUUUAAAAAAAGGCCAAAUGUAUACAAUCUUGAGUGGGGUCCACGCUACUGCCACAUGCUUUAUUUUCAUUUUUUUUAAAAAUUUAUUUACUUCCACUAUUUCUUUAAUAAAUAAAUAAAUAAAUAUUAAUAUUUCUUAUUUGUGUGUUCGUUGUGAUUAAAUCUACAGGUAGUUCGCAUUUUCUAAUUUUGACUAGAUUUAUAAGACGAAAACAAACGCAUUUGGAUGGAGCAAGUUUGAGGAGAUAGGUGGAUUUGGGCCUUCUCAAAUUUAGAUUUGGGCCUAGAACAUGAUUCAAAGCUCAGUCCAGCCCAAACGGCACACGUCUUAUUGGGUCUCAAUUUGGGCCUAUUGAGUUGACCUGGGCCAACCCGAUUCAAUUCAAUGGCAGGCAAUUGGUACCAUCAUCACUAGUAUACAAUUGCUGGUCUAAUUUUAGUAUUCUCUCUGUUUUUGAGUUUUCUCAAUCCCAAUUCACUAGCCAAAUUUUCAUACUUGUAAUGGGCAUUAAACAAGGUUUAAUUUAUAAUUAAAUAUAAUAAAUAGAAGAGAAAAAAAUGUUAAAAAAUUAUUUUCUAUGUUUGUUUAUUAUAAAAAAAAAUAUAUAAGAGAAAAUAAAUAUAAUUAAAAUUAAUUAUAGAUUUAUUUAUUUUUAAAUCAUUUCAUCUUUAUAUAGAAGAAAAAAAAAAGUGAAAUGAGUUUAAAGAAGAAUAUAAAAAUAAUUUAUCAUAUUUAAAUCUAUUUUUAAAAUUUUCUAGCAUUUUUUUUUUAUCUCUUUUCAUUUUCUUACCUUGAUAUUUUCUCAAGAUAUUUCCUUUAUCAUUUUUCAUUAUUGACGCCAAGUCAAUGGUUGAUGCUUCCACACGGUUUUGUGGAAAGAUGAUCAAGAAGAAAACAUGGCAAAUCUGAAAAAGAUACUCCACUUCUUUCAAAUACAAUUUUGUUUUUUAUUCUUUUUUUAUUUAUCAUACUUUCUUUACUAAUAUAUCACUUUUCAAAUAAAAUAAUUAAUUUACACUAAUUACUUUUUAACUAUAUUCUUUAAUCACCAAAGUAGCAAGAAUCUAUAUAAUUGUUUCCAGAUUUAGAACUCGUUUAAUAAUAAUUUUAGAAAACACUUUCAAUAUUUUUAUUGCUUAAAAAUUUUUAUAUUAAAAAUGCUAGAAACGCUUUAUAAAAUCACUCCCAAACUGGUUCUUACUCGUCACAUUAUUUAUUUGGCUAGAGGCCAUAAGUACAUUAGUGUAAACUAACAAUAUCAUUAAUUAGGAUAUUUUUUAGUAACUAAAAUCCUUAAUCUAAUUUUUUAUGGAUUUUUUUAUGGUCUUAAGAGGGAAUUGAUUGGUCAGAGUUUCAUAAGUUUACUAUUAAUGUAAUUAGUAGCCAAUCACUAUCUUUAAGUAAGUUAAUAGAUAUAAAUUUUAUCUUUAAAUUAAUUAUUUAGAAGAAUCAAUUGAUAAUUUUGGAAGAUGAUUUAUUUAUUUAUUUAUUUAUUACAAAAGAUGCUUUAGAAAAAAAAAAUAUUUUUAUAGUGUUGUAAACUCUUAGAUAGUGUUGUCAUUCUAUUGAUUCAUAGAAGUCAAAGUCAAGAAACGUGAAAAACGAAAGAAGGGAAAUUUCUAUGCUUCCAUGAUUCAUAGAAAAGAAGGUCAAAAGGCAAAUGAUUGAAAAAUGAAAGAAGGAAAGUUUAUAUGAAUUUAUGAUUCAUAGAAAAGAAGGUCCCCACACGGUUUUAUUUAUGGUGCGUGAAUGUUUUAAUAAUAUUAUGAUUUUAAAUAAAAAAGAAAUAAAUUUAUUAAUAAGUUUGUUCACAUAUUUUUCAAAAUUUGUUUUUCUUCUCUUUUACCUUUCAAAAAAAAAAUGAAAAUUUUGAAAAGAUAGAAAUAUUUUAAUAAUUUGAAUUGUUAUUUUUUUGCAAUUUUAAAUUAAACUAAAUAAUUAAUAUUAAAUUUAUUUUUUUUAAUUUGAAUCUUUUUAAUAUUUUCUUUGAUCCGAAGGGUAAUUUCAUUUUCAAACUUUUUAGACAAAUGAUAUUACCAAAAAUCUUGUGAUAUUCUACUAUUAGUGAUACUAACUAAGACAAAAAUUAUUUUCUUUUACCACUUAAUUAUUACCAUAGGAUGGUAUUAAAUUUAAAAGGAACAAAUAAAAUAGAAAAAUAAAAUAAAAAACAUUUUAUUUUACAAUAAAGGUGAAGAAAUAAAAUAAAAUAAAAAAUAAAUAUAAUUUCAUUCUCAUUUCCUUGCUUUUUCAUCUACUAUUGGUGGUCAAAGUUAUAAAUAUUUGCAUAUAUUUUUACAAUUUUUAGAUAAUUGGAGAAAAAAAGAAUAUAAAAGUAAUUUAUCACCUUUAAAUUUAUUUUCUUUUUUUAAUUUUAUGUCAUUUCUUAUUUCCUUUUAUUUUUCUUAGUAUUUUCUUUACUACUUUUUAUAAACCAAACACAACCUAAAAAUUAUUUUUAAAAAAAAUUAUUAUUUUUAUUUAAGCCAAAAAAUAAAAAUAUUUUUUUUAUUUCUCUUUUAUGAUAAACAAAAUGGUUAGAAAACUGAGUGCUUUGGUUUGAGUUUCCUCUUUCAUUUAUUUGAUCAAUAAAACAUUAUUAUUCUACUUUAAACUUGCAAAUUCAGCCAUGACCAUACAGAGAAAUUCAAACUGUGCCCUCUCAUGCUCCUCUGUUCUAUUUUCUCCCAAGUUAUUAAUUUUCUCGUCUUUCUCUAAUACCGGAGACUUGACUUCUUGUGGGCCAGCUUAAGAAAUCAUUUUUCAUUGUUGACCCUAACUCAAUGGUUCAUGCUUUCUCAUGAACCUUUUUGUUUUACUUUAAUAUUAUAAAAAAAGGUGGGUGGCUUUCACACGAUUUUGUGAAAGAUGAUCAAAACAUGAUUAUUCUAACUUGGAAUCAUUUGCAUAUAAAUUGGAGUGCACUUGUCACCAUUUCUCUCAUCUCAUCACUCUUUCUCUCUAUUGCUUUGGGAAGAAUGAUGUCUAAACUUCUCCUUUGUUUUCUUUUCUUUCUCUCGUCCUCUCAGCUUCUUUCCUCCUCUUUCUCUUUCUCUAAUUCCACCAAACUAUGCCCGCAUCAGCAGGCUCUUGCUCUGCUCCACCUUAAGCAAUCCUUUUCUAUUGAUAAUUCCAGUUCUUGGGAUUGUGAUUCCAAUGGCAUCACUUCUUAUCCUAAAACAGAGUCUUGGAAGAAGGGUAGUGAUUGCUGCUCAUGGGAUGGGGUCACAUGUGAUUGGGUGACAGGCCAUAUAAUUGGGCUGGACCUCAGUUGCAGCAGGCUCUUUGGCACCAUCCAUUCCAACACAACCCUUUUCCUCCUUCUUCAUCUACAAAGGCUCAACCUGGCUUUCAACAACUUCAAUGGGUCCUCUA
rnacentral:lncRNA from 1 species